UCUCCUCCAUUCCCGUGUAUUAACCUCAGAGCAGUGAACAUUUAGAAAAAGGCAAAUAACAACAUGACCACGUCUGGAGUUUCCUCAACACUGCCACCCAUGAACCAUCUGUCAGUUUGAUCUACGAGCUCAGUGGGAUU